ACGUAGGGUGCGAGCGUUAAUCGGAAUUACUGGGCGUAAAGCGUGCGCAGGCGGUUUUGGAAGACAGAGGUGAAAUCCCCGGGCUCAACCUGGGAACUGCCUUUGUGACUGCAAGGCUAGAGGGCGGCAGGGGGGGGCGGAAUUCCGCGUGUAGCAGUGAAAUGCGCAGAUAUUGGUAGGAACACCCAUGGCGCAGGCAAACAUCUAGGAUUGUACUGAUGUGGAGGCCCGAAAGCUUGGGGAGCAAACAG
rnacentral:rRNA from 1 species